rnacentral:rRNA from 1 species
UGGGGAAUUUUGGACAAUUGGGGAAACCCUGAUCCAGCCAUCCCGCGUGUGCGAUGAAGGCCUUCGGGUUGUAAAGCACUUUUGGCAGGAAAGAAACGUCAUGGGUUAAUACCCCGUGAAACUGACGGUACCUGCAGAAUAAGCACCGGCUAACUACGUGCCAGCAGCCGCGGUAAUACGUAGGGUGCAAGCGUUAAUCGGAAUUACUGGGCGUAAAGCGUGCGCAGGCGGUUCGGAAAGAAAGAUGUGAAAUCCCAGAGCUCAACUUUGGAACUGCAUUUUUAGCUACCGGGCGAGAGUGUGUCAGAGGGAGGUGGAAUUCCGCGUGUAGCAGUGAAAUGCGUAGAUAUGCGGAGGAACACCGAUGGCGAAGGCAGCCUCCUGGGAUAACACUGACGCUCAUGCACGAAAGCGUGGGGAGCAAACAGG